rnacentral:lncRNA from 1 species
UGAGAAAGUCUUUCAUUUGUAAACUUUGAGAUACCAUUUCCCUCCCCCAAGUCUUCUCAAUAGACCUAGCAGUUAGUAGAUGGAAGAUUGAAAUUGGUCUUUACUUCCCCCUCUUACUAUGAUGUCCACUUUUAAAUGUUGCUAAAAGAGAACAAAUUCAGCUAAUGUGGACAUUUUCCUGACUGACUGAACAACUCAGCUCACAGCAUAUGGUUAUAGCAGAAUUAGUAACUCGUGACAUUGCAUUCUGUAGACUGCAGACUUCAAUUAAUCAGUAUUUUAAAGAGACAAUUGUGUUGUUUUUUUCUAUUGCCACUUUAAGUAUCUUAUCUGAAAAUCUGUUCCUUGCCAUGUUUUUCUUCUGUAACAUAAACUGUGCCCUGUGAAUUUCUGGGGACUGAAUUUGAAAUUGCUCCUGCCAACUGUUCGUGGCCUGGUGCUUAUCUGAAUGCCUGAAUAUCUCCCCGCUGAAUGAAUUGCGUAUUCUGCCCUGAAUUCACUCUGAUAUAUUGAUUGGCUGGACGAUCUUGGUGCUGCCCACUUGCCGUUCCAGAAGAGCCACCGAAGGAAAAGAUCCAGGAGUAUAGAGGAUGAUGAGGAGGGUCACCUGAUCUGUCAAAGUGGAGACGUUCUAAGAGCAAGAUGUAUAGAAUAUUUUUCAACACUUUUUAAACUUUGCAGACAGAAUAAUCUUUUAAAGAAUAGUUUGUCAGCGGGGGGCUAAAGACUCUUCAUUGCUUUUUUGUUUUGUUUUUUGUGGGUUUGUUUGUUCUUUUGUAUUUCUUCUUUUCUGUAGAAUUUAAAUAUUUCUAUUCUUAAAAUUCCAAGAUAAUCAGUGGAGUUUGAGAUUAGAGCAAGACAGAUAGCUCUAUCUAAUUGCUUUGUAGCAACUGAAAAUGCCAUAACUUGAGCGAUGAAACCUUAGUUAUGCUUUGCUAAAGAUCAUUUGGAAAUAUGCCACACUUAAGCAUUCAUUGUAUGAACAGCUGGGUACUUGUGCUAAAGUACUUAGAUCUCUCUUUCUCUCCCUCACUUUAGAUGAAAUCGUGGACACUUUAGGUGAAGGGGCCUUUGGCAAAGUUGUAGAGUGCAUUGAUCAUGGCAUGGAUGGCUUACAUGUGGCAGUGAAAAUUGUAAAAAAUGUAGGCCGUUACCGG